GGCCCCUUCAUCUAGCGGUUCAGGAUGCAGGAUUCUCAGUCCUGUCACACGGGUUCGAAUCCCGUAGGGGCUA
rnacentral:tRNA from 1 species